UACGUAGGGGGCUAGCGUUGUCCGGAAUCAUUGGGCGUAAAGCGCGUGUAGGCGGCCCGGUAAGUCCGCUGUGAAAGUCGGGGGCUCAACCCUCGGAUGCCGGUGGAUACUGUCGGGCUCGAGUACGGAAGAGGCGAGUGGAAUUCCUGGUGUAGCGGUGAAAUGCGCAGAUAUCAGGAGGAACACCAAUUGCGAAGGCAGCUCGCUGGGACGUUACUGACGCUGAGACGCGAAAGCGUGGGAGCGAACAGG
rnacentral:rRNA from 1 species